rnacentral:rRNA from 1 species
AUUGAACGCUGGCGGCAUGCCUUACACAUGCAAGUCGAACGGCAGCACGGGAGCAAUCCUGGUGGCGAGUGGCGAACGGGUGAGUAAAGUAUCGGAACGUGCCCAGUCGUGGGGGAUAACGUAGCGAAAGUUACGCUAAUACCGCAUACGAUCUAUGGAUGAAAGCGGGGGAUCGCAAGACCUCGCGCGAUUGGAGAGGCCGAUAUCAGAUUAGGUAGUUGGUGGGGUAAAGGCGCACCAAGGCGACGAUCUGUAGCGGGUCUGAGAGGAUGAUCCGCCACACUGGGAGUGAGACACGGCCCAGAGUCCUACGGGAGGCAGCAGUGGGGAAUUUUGGACAAUGGGUGCAACCCUGAUCCAGCCAUGCCGCGUGCGGGAAGAAGGCCUUCGGGUUGUAAACCGCUUUCGGACAGAAAGAAAUCGCAUGGGCUAAUACCCUGUGUGGAUGACGGUACUGUAAGAAGAAGCACCGGCUAACUACGUGCCAGCCGCCGCGGUAA